GUCUAUUGCCAGCGUUCGUUGUAGAAAGUACUACGUAAAUUGAUCAGAGAGAAAGCUGUUGACUCUGAAGACUAAGGAAGAGAGAAGAGAACGUGGUAUCCUGUAAAGUUUCCUACGAUAACAAGAUCCCUUGUCUUUCGAAAUGCAACGCAUCAUUUUACGAUACUUUCGCGAGAGAGAUUAAUAUCAUACGCGAAAGAAGAUGGAUCUCGUUGAUUGAAACUACAGUUGGUAUACUAUGUUCCAUUUCUUUUCGAUCGACGAAGAUUCACAUAUAUUCAGUGCCAACAGCAGAAAGUUCGAGACGAGUUUUGGGAGAAAAUUAGUUUAUGGAACGAUGUAGAGAGAGAGUGAGAGAGUGAGAGAGAGAGAGAGAGAGAGAGAGAGAGAGAGAGAGAGAGAAAGAGAGAGAGAGAGGAAAAUAACAAAAAUGACAACAAGUCGAUGUUAGUUAUGAAAACAUUAAUUUCCACGUCAUUGCGUUCCAACCAACGUCGAGGGACCUUGAAAAGAGAAAUUCUUUGACCGUCAUCUCGUGGGUGAAUACAAAACGGGCAAGAGUUCUUUGUACUUCUAGAAAUAGCUUAAAUAUGUGUGUGUGUAAAUGCAAGCGUGUGUAUGUAGUACCUGUUGCCAUCUUAUAAUCGCUAUUGAAACGAUGUACUUUGAGUGUCGUGAAAAUGGUACUUCAUCUUACAGUUUCAUUACUUAUUUAUAAAUUUGUUAAAGAUUUAUCGAUAUGUUUAAGGAGGUAAAGCGUGAAGAGUAAUCGUGAUUGAAUUCGUUCGAGGGGCUAAACAACAAAGAACGUUCUAUUGACGUUUAUUUCGAAAUGUAAAUGACGUUACUUAUAUGUCUACUUUUCUGGUCCGUUGCUUUUUAUGAUUCGAUUAAUGCGAAAUUGUUUAAGAAUUAGAAGAAAAAAUGAAAAAAAAAAAUAAGAGCAACGACAAGAAAGAGAAUUUUUUAUUUCCUAUACAGUUCUAUUUAUUCGUUCAGUAUUUUUAUUAAUUAAUUGCGAGUAUUUCAUGAAAUAUGUAAAUAAUUAUUAUACAUAUAUAUAUAUAUGUUUUGAUCAGUAUAUGUACAUAAAUAUUUUGAUAUUUAGUAUAAAUAAUUAAACGUUGAGUCAUUUUUAACGUUAGUUGUAUUACGUAGAAUUAUAUUUCGUUAAACAUAGCGAUCAAAAAUUUGUUUGAAAUAUUAAGAAAAUAUCAAACAAAAAUACUCGUUCGAAUAAAUAGAAAACAAUAUUUCUCUUAUAUCUCGAGAAUAGAAUAGUUUUUAUUAAAAAUCGUAUCCUAGAGAAAUUUCAAAGGCAAUUUAAAGACUUCUCAUCCAUGAGAGAAAAACGAAUGUAACUAUGAAAUUCGUUCGUAUUUUUUCGAGAUUCAUCCAAUCGUAUCUAUCAUUAGAAUUCCUAAAUAAUCAAGGACAAGACCUUAGUAGUAAUUUUAUCAAAUUGGCAACGAUCGUACGGCUCGACAAUUUCGUUGAAAAAAAGAGAAACAUAAGUCUCGUUUCAUUAAUCCAAGGGACUAUGUUGAGACGAUAGUCCAGACCAACUACGUUGGAUGGGUGGGUGGACGAAGGGGUGGAGAAAGAGGAAGAGAAGAAGGGAAGUAGGGUCGUAACAGAGCAACAGGAAAAUCAGCCCCAUUUACAUCAGAAUCUCUUCCAUUUCUUCGGUGACUCUCGACAUCCAAUUAUCUGUACACACGCUACCAACCCGGAAACUCGAGCAUUCUCGAGUCAAUUCUACAGAAGACCACCAUCGCUGUGUAGCGAUUUUACGAGAAAGCGAGAGAUAGAUAGAUAGAUAGAGAUAGAGAGAGAGAGAGAGGGUGAGAGAGUGAGA